UACAGAGGUCCCAAGCGUUGUUCGGAUUCAUUGGGCGUAAAGGGUGCGUAGGUGGCGCUGUAAGUCGGGUGUGAAAUUUCGGAGCUUAACUCCGAAACUGCAUUCGAUACUGCGGUGCUUGAGGACUGGAGAGGAGACUGGAAUUUACGGUGUAGCAGUGAAAUGCGUAGAUAUCGUAAGGAAGACCAGUGGCGAAGGCGGGUCUCUGGACAGUUCCUGACGCUGAGGCACGAAGGUCAGGGGAGCAAACGGGG
rnacentral:rRNA from 1 species